UCUACUUCUAUAUUUUCAUCUUAUUUUGAUUUUGGUUUAAGUUAUUUUUUUGUGUUCAUUAUUAUCAUGAUUUGCCUUUCCAUAUUUCUGUAGUUAAUAUCUCUCAAGAGAGAGCCAAACGUUAUAUUGAAUAUGGAGAUGUUGUUGCGUUAUAUUUGACACAUUUAGUUGAUGAGGUUGAUGUGGUCCCAUCUACUGAAUAUGAACCCCAUGUGGGAGGAGAAUCUUGUCCUACUUUUGAUAAAAAGUUAAGUGAAGACUUAGGAGACUGUGAUAAUUUAGGGUUUGAAGAGAACUUUGCAGAAGCUGUAAUACCUCAUGAGCCUACUUUUACUGAAAACUUGAGUGGUGGUGGUACUGCUAGGAGUGAAGACCUAGGUGGUGGUGAUGUUGUUUCUUCUAUUGGUAAGGACUUAGGUGGCUGUGGUGGUGGUGUUUCUGCUAUUGGUGGGGACUUAGGUGAUGGUGGUGUUGCUGCUAGGGGUGAGAACUUAGGUGGGGCUGGUAGUGAUUUUUUUUCUAGUGGUGGGGACUUUGGUAAUGUUGGUAUUGCUGCAAGAGGUGGCUAAUUGAUGCUCUUAUUGGUAUUCAAGGUUGUGGUCGUGCUCGUGCUGCUUCUCCUCAACAACUUCAAGCUAGUUCACACUUUUAUCCCCAGUUACUUAUUCUGUCUGAUAUUUUUUGUUGUUUUGCAUUGUUAUGGUUGGUGUUGUGGAGGGCACGGAUUAGGGUAAUAGGUUAAUCAGUAGGUAGUAGUGCUUUGUGUGGCUAUUCGCCGGUAGUCGGUUAGUCGUAGUAUUGCUCUUGUAGUUUCUUGUCCUUCCAUUUUUUGGUUAUAUUAUUUAUUGUCUUAUACUUCCACGAUCCUAGUAUUUUUCUUUGUUAUUUUUUCACUUCAGUUACUUCUUUUUUGGAUUACUUUGGUUUGUUUUCCUUGAGGUAGCGGUAAGGUUUGCAUACGUCCUACCCUCCCCAGACCCCAUUCUGUGGGACUACAUAGGAUAUGUUGUUGUAGUUAUAGGUGAUAUUUAGUAGGUGGAAAUAAGUUUUAGAAUUGUUAGAGAACUUAUACGAUUGUUAUUACUACUUUUUAUAUAUAAUUUGUUUUUCACUUUUAUUUUAUUUGGUAUGAUGAUGAUUGAGUUGAGCAUAAAUGAAGCCGGAUCUUUGAUAUACCUAACCGUAACAUGUUUGAGACUGAGGCGUAGUAGUAGUUGUUAGAUUUAUUGUUAUAGUGAGGCUUAACAUGAGUUGAGCUUAAACGGAGAAGUGGAGAAUCAUAUCGCUGACUUAACUUAUUUUGGAUUGCACUGUAGUUGUUGGUUGUUACAUUUACUGUUAUAGUGAGGUGUAGCACAGGUUGAGUUUAAAUAGAGAAAUAGGAUUCAUAUAGCGGACCCAACUUGUUUGGAACUGUUAUAGUGACAUGAAUUUCGUUCUUAGAUUGACAUCUUUUAGGGGUCAUCUUGUGCAUCGUAUAAUAUUAGAUGCGGAUCAAGGAUAAGGCUAGGUCUGCCUCUGUAUAAUCUGGUGAUAGAUCAUUUUUUAGGUUCAAAGAACCCGUAAGUUACUAAUUAGUAUUGGGUAAUCUAAAGAAAAUGUAUGGCUAUGUAAGAGGUUGAAUGUGUUGUUAAAGUUCUUGAAGGAUCAGAAGGUAUUUUUGAACCAGUGAGUACCGUCUUAAGUGUUUUUUCUUUCAUUACAUUCCCUUUCUAUCGAUUUCUUAGUGUCAAUUAUUAUAAAUGUGGUUGCGUACAUAAGAGAAAAAGUUACUAAGGAUGGUAAGUUAUGAUGUUGCAAUGUGGUUGCAUAUAUAGACGAGCUUGAGUUUGAUCGAGGGUCAGUGGCAGCUGAUGUUCACGACUAGGCCAGGAUCAACAUCUCCUAUUCAGGCUAGAUUCUAGUAUAUUUUUUGCUUACUGUUCUUUCAGCUGUCGUCAUUUUCUGGUGCGUAGAUUGGUUAAAGAGCUGAAAUGAAGAAAUGAUGAUCAAUAUUGAUUUUGUAGACAUACUAAAAAUCGAUAAUGUAUUGUGGAUUCUGCCUUUCGGCUAAUCAUAAAUCACUAACCUGAUGAUUUGUGAAGGGAUGUAGAUUUUGAUAUAUCUCUUUUUCUUGGAAAUUGUUGAGGCAUGUCAUCGGUUAACUGUGAGUAACCUUUCAGUUUAUCUUAGUGGUUCUCCGAAAGUGUCCCAGUAGAAACAAAUUAAUUUUAAUUCGUUAACCUUGAGAAUUUAUCAUAAUAUUAGCAAACAUCUUCUCUUCCUCAGCGCCAAAAGGUAGUCAUGAAAACGUGAGGUUUGCUAACUAAUCACUUUCUCAAUGUGAGACUAAUGUUAAGAACCACUUUGCAGAGAACAUUUGUUGGGUUUGAUUCAUUCAACGUAUUUCAAGAAGUAUUCCUUAGAACGAACGACCCACGUGUAUCCAACAUUGUAAAGUUUUCUGAGGCAAUAGGUGAACUGAAAGUAGAGGUAUAUAUCGUUUAUCCUGCUGACUAUUCUAAAGUUUUUGAAAGUGGAUAUUCAUUACUUGAUCCCAACUUUUUUGGACCGGGGUGCAGUAGUAUUAGUUGUUUUAUACAUCUGUAGGGUAGGGAAUGGUAAUUUAGCUCUUUGAUAUCUUACUGAAUGCUCGUCUUAUGCUCCUCAAGCACUUGCAACAAUCAAAGAUGGAAAACAAAUUCUUUUCCAAUUUGAUAGAGAAACUUCUUCAAUCAAAUUUCUACCGUUCAAGGUUCCGUACCCUGUGCUUUUUAGACUUCUGGGAGAAGAAGCUAAGGGCUGGUUAGACACUAUAUAUUUGUUUCCAUUCGGGAAUCUCCGUAUUUCAAGAGGAAACAAGGUAGGCGAACGUUCUUAGCUUGUUAUUGUGUCAUUUUUUUGCCUUUCUUCACUAUAAUAUGUUAUACACAAUGCAUAAAACCUAUGUUGUUUGUCUCUUUAUAAGUACCACCGGGUGUUUACUGGCUUCUCCAAAAGUCAUGCAAUUUUGGAGGGUCGGAGAAACAUAGCAUAAAACUAGUAAACUGUAUCUCAAAUCUUCUUUUUAACAGGUAAUCAGCUAGACUUUUAAGGGACACAAGCUAUACUGCUAUAGUGCAGGGAACUACAUUUGUGUUGCAAAGGGAAACUGAACCAAGGAAAAAGUUGCUUUUGUCCAUUUCAACGGGUACAAGGUUAGAAGAGGCAAUUGAUGAGUUUAUUUCCUUAAACAAAAAUGUAGUGAAUUCUGAAAUGGAACUCCUCGAGGGUGAGUGGCAAAUGAUAUGGAGUUCACAGGUAUCUUCCAAAAUUGUUGUUUAGUACUGUAAGAUAAAGAUGUUACUUCUCAGAAACAUAAUCGGGUCACGCACCUGCGUGUCUGAACUAGUGGCAAUCUAGCGCAUAACUUACAGAUUCACGAGAAUUACUGAUAAAUAGAGAAUUACUGAUACUUGCUACGUAUAAUUAUUGAUAAAAUAUAGUUGUCUGCUUGAUAGGUAGAAAUAGAUAGUUGGAUAGAGAAUGCCGACAAUGUUCUGAUGGGCAUGCAGGUGCAUAGGCCUCUUCAUUCCGCUGCUUUAUUUUCUCUAUCGACUUUGAUAUCUUUGAUCGCUUACUAUUCUUUUACAUUCUGAAUUUGUAUUUUUCUUUCUAGAUUGUCAAACCAAACAGACAGUUGAAGUUCCUAGUCGGCAUACUGUUUGGUAUUAGGUUCUCCAUGACUGGAAAAUAUGAGUAAGUAUCAUUCCAGCCAAAGCCAUCCUUUAGAAAUAUCGUAGGAAUUGUGUUCUUCAUAUUCAGCUAUCGAUGUACUUUUCAUUGUUAAUUAAGAUUUUUUUAGAACUUCAUUGAGGAGAUCUGUGCCUUUUAGAAAACAAAACAAGUGAAUCUCUAGGAGCUACUUUCACCUCGGUAAUUACCUAAUGAGAGAGAGUCGAUGCAAAAGUAAUAUUUUACGCCAGGAAAAGCUAGACAUACUGACCUCUGCUAACAAAGUUUUAUAUAGACUUGAAGCUAGAGAUGUACUAAGGUAUAGUGAGUAAACAAAUGGCUGACAACUUGAAAAGAGAUAUGGAUCAAGAUUUGCAAAAGAAAUUGGAAGAGGAACGUGAACACAUGAAAGGAGAAGUAGAAAAAAUAUUUCACGAAAAAAUGGCUACUCUCAUGGCUGAAAUGCAAAAGGAACGUUCUUAAACAAUGGGUUGACCAAGGAGGAGCAUGAAGGCGUAGAAUGCAUUUUUAAUUUUUGAUCAUAUGUAUGAAUAUGAUAAAACUGAAGCACUAUGUCGUUCUUAACAUAUACGACGUUGAAUUCUCAUUGAGGAAUGUACUUAUAAUAUUUGAUCGGAGGAUGAUUUUG